UUUUAGGUCAAGAGUGGAGUUCAUGAUGCCCUUCCUGCAGCUGCUGUUUCUCAAGGGCCGUCAGCUCACAAUAACAUGACAAAGCAGUGAGUUUUGGGGUGGCAUGUUCUGAACUCCUUCACAAGCUUCAUCUGGGGGAAAAAGGAGGGCCCUCUGCAUCAGCUCAAAUGAAGUCGAAAGGGAAGAGAUCCUGUGAAAAGCAGUAGUGAAAAAAGGACCUUGCUGGGAAGGCCCAGGAUUUGCGUCACCGAGAGGAAAUUGAGAAAAUUAAAGAGGGCACACCCUGAACACUGAUCCUGGUGGAUUCGAGCGCUUCUGGAAUCUUGUUCUUCUGGAGACGCGGUUGGGCUGGAUGUCAGGGGAAGACUUUGAUGAAGGGAAGGACACAUGAUCGGGGCCUAUCUUGGCUUUAUCACUCAUGCAAUGUCAUCUCAAACCCAUCUGCUCCUCUACUUCUUACUGAGCCUGGGCUGGGCAUGCAGCCUGUGUCAUCCACAUGGUGGAUUUACAGGUCUCAAUUUAUGCCAGCCAAAGUUUUUUGAAGAAAAGGCAGCUGGGGCUGGGCUGUGGCCAUGUCUCAAUUAUGUGCUGGGAGUAAAACAUGGAGAAAGCGAGGAUCGGCAUACAUGAAGGAGCCACGCUGUCUACCGAGUCCCCGCCAUGCCAGACUGUGUCAUCUGACGUCAUGCCAACAAGUGUCUCCGCCACCACGCAAGCCGCACAUUUCCUCUUUCAGGAAUCAUUUCCAAAUCCGCCUGAUGGAGCAGACAGCUUGCCCAGCUGGGCCAGGUUCUUCUGCAAAUGAGCACCAAAACCCUAAGUCACAGAGUUUGGGAAACACUCUAACUCAGGAAUUCCAGCUUUCUCUUUUUACAGAAAGAGAAACCAGCUGAAGCCCAGUGAGGGCCAUGCAGGACAGGACCAUGUGUGCACUCGUGCUCGGCAGGGCUUGCUUCCCUUCCUCCAUGCUCGCCGGUGACACCUGCCCUGGGACAUCAGCCAAGGAAGUGAAAACCAGGAAUGCCCCAGGACCUUGAAACUAGGUACCCCAUUAGUUACCCCAGAUCUGUUCUCCUUUACCAUCCAACACCCAAGUAGCCAGGUCACAAUGAAGUACUGAGUUAGCUCAGUUGUUUCAGGGCAACCAUUGAGAACCAAAAAAUAAAAAAAGCUUGUAACAAAUUUUUCAAAGUUCUAAAAUUGGCAUUGGUACACAAUAUCCAACUAAUAACAUUUCAACUAAUCACAGAGACAAAUCAGCAGAAAUUCUAGAUGAAGCUGCUAUAAGAUUGACACACAUAUAAUUUAUUUGACAAGCAUAGACUUUUUAAAAAGAGAAAACCACUAUUAAAUGUUAUCAAAAUCACUUUCGAUUUGGAAUAUGACAGCCCCGUCAUCACUUUUGAGGCACCAGCCACCAGAGCCCAAGCACUGCCAGCUACAGGCAUCCCCUCAGUGCCCCCAAAUGCUCACGGCUCCUGCAGCCCCCCUCCUCUCAUUACUCUCCCCAUCCUUCACACCAAGGAUAAGGGCACCCCACAUUCUCCCUUCUGAGACUCAACAUUUGUUAUAAUUUUAGUGCUUAACAUGUAUCGUGUCCCUACAAAGCACUGCAUGUAUUAUUUAAUCCUCGCAGCAACACUGAAAGCAAGUUCCAUUACUAUCCGUGAGGACACAGGGCCACAGAGGACACACACGAGACGCACUCACAGGGGGAAGCCACUGGAUUCCAUUCCCCAGAUGCCUCCCUCUCCCAUAGUACCUGUGGGAAGCACGUGUGGGAAGACAGGGGGCCCUACAUGAGGAAUGCAUGAGUAGCCUGGACAUAGAUGUUGGCACCUCGUGCAUCCAGCAAGGGGUUAACUUCUAAAAUGCACAAAGAACUCACACAUCUCAGCCAAUAAAUGGCCAGAAGCCCCCAUAACAACCCAAUCAGUAAAUCGUCAAACGAUCUCAAAGGAAAGAAGAUGUACAGACGGCCCAGAGGCACACGAGGAAAGGCUCAACACCACUAUUAUCAGGGAAUACAGAUGAAAACCACCAGGAGACAUCACCUCACACUUGCGCUGAUGGCCCACAUCAAAAAAGACCAAGAGCAAGUGUUGGCGAGGAUGUGGAGGGACAGGAAAAUGCAUUCACUGCUGGUGGGGAUGUGAAACUGGUGCAGCCUCUGUGGAAGAGGGUAUAGAGGGCAUGCCGACUCCUUAAAAAGCUGAAAAUGGAAAUGCCAGCAAUACCACUUGUGGGUAUUUAUCCAAAGGACAUGAGAACACUAAUAGGAAGACACUUAUGUACGCCCACGUUCAGCUGCGUUCUUCGUAAUAGCCGAGACAUGGCAUCCGCUGAAAUCCCCAUCAGCGAAUGACUAGGUAAAGAAAUUGUUGCAUGUACAUAGGCAAUGGAACACUUCAGCUACUAAAAAAGAUAAAAAUAGUGUCUUUUCCAACAAUAUGGAUGGAACUUGAGGUGAUGACGUGAUUAUGUUAAGUGACAUAAGUCAGAAAGUAGAAGAUAACCAUCAGAUGGUUUCAUUCCUUUGGGGAAUACAAAUAACUAAAGAAAACAAACAGCAACACACAACAAAAAUAGAGUCUGAUAAUGGUAGCGGUUACCUGAAGGGAGGGGAGCGAGAAGCAGGGGUGUGCGCAAGGUGGAAGUGUGGUGGUGGGUAAUGAAUCAUGCGUAUAUAUUGCAGUUGAAGCUGUUUUCCCAAUAUUAUAUAGUUCUGUACAGAAAUGGUGAAUAAAAUUUGAUGUUAAAAAAUGGACAU